AGUGUGUUCCUGUGUCACCUUGUUCCAGCAGUUUUCCUCGUAGACUUCUAGUGAUUUUUGGCUGUGCCUGCCUUACCGUUUUGCCUUUUGCCUGCUCCCUUUGGAUUUGUUUGCCUUGAAGUAUUACCUGCCUGCGUACCGACCUGGACUGUAAUUAAACUCUGCCUUUUCCUGAACUCAGCUCCUUACAAUAUCCAGACAUAUUGGCCACUGCACUGGCUUUCCAUGAGGACACUGUGGGUAGACUUGAUAUGGAAAACCCAGGCUGAUGCUAAUAAACAGAUGUUUAAGUCCUCCGGCAUUAAUAGUUGUUGAAGUGCAUGAUUGAUGCAUCAGUCAGUCUCCAAUGACCUUCUACCCUUAAAGUAUAUAAAAUACCCCUUUUAACAA